rnacentral:rRNA from 1 species
GAUGAACGCUGGCGGCGUGCCUAAUACAUGCAAGUCGAGCGAACAGACGAGGAGCUUGCUCCUUUGACGUUAGCGGCGGACGUGUGAGUAACACGUGGAUAACCUACCUAUAAUUCUGGGAUAACUUCGAGAAACCGGAUCUUAUACCGGAUAACAUGUUGAACCGUAUGGUUCAACAGUGAAAUACGGUCUUUCUGUCUCUUCUAGAUGGAUCUGCGCUGCAUUAGCUAGUUGGUAAGGUAACGGCUUACCACGGCAAGGAUGCGUAGCCGACCUGGGAGGGUGAUAGGCGACAUUGGAACUGAGACACGGUCCAGGCUCCUACGGGAGGCAGCAGUAGGGAAUCUUCCGCAAUAGGCGGAAACCUGACGGAGCAACGGGGCGUGUGAGAAGAAGAUCUUCGGAUCGUAAAACUCUGUUAUUAGGGAAAAACAAAUGUGUAAGGAACUAUGCACGGAUUGACGGUACCGGAUCAGAAAGCCACGGCUAACUACGUG